rnacentral:sRNA from 1 species
UGCUUUAACAAAUUCGAGAUCAGUUUA